AUAAACUAUGUACUUGAAGCUUGUAAUCCCAUCUUUCAAAUAGGUUUUGGUUCAGAAACUUUUGUGGGAUUUGGGUGAGUGGAAAGUGAAGCCAAAGACAGCAUCUUGCACACUAUUUUUAACACAGCUGAAAUAGAAACUUAGUUUUAAAUUAGUUUCUGUAGCAGCUGAUUUAGUUACUUUUCAGUAGCUCUUUAAAUAGCUUCUAAGUGUUAUUUAACUUCUGUUUCAUAGUAAAGUAAUAGUUUUCUUAUUUUUGUAUAUUACUUAUAACAUAGUUACUAACUUUAGCUCACCAUUCUUUGUUUGUACUUUACCUUUUGGGUAAGGUUCCAGAGACGAUCUUGGCAAUCCACAAGUGUGAGAAGUGAAGUUUGAGCUUGACUUUGUGCUGUGCAAAUCGAGGUAGGGUUUGAUGGGGUGUUUGUGUUGUUGUUAUUUAUGCUAUUAUAUGGUUUGUUUGAUAUUGAAUGUAUUUGUGAUAUUGGAUUAUUUGGUAUUAGGUUGAUUGAUAUUGAUUCGUUUGGCAUUGAGUUAUUUGAUAUGAAUUGAAUAAAAUGUUGGAUGAUAUUGAAUCGAUUAUAACAUGUUUAUAAUUGAAAGCAUGUAUUUGUUAUUUUUAUUUUUUAAAUUGUGAUUACAUGUUGUCAUGGGAAAGAGUAAGGUUGGAAGUAAAACGGAGAAUGAGUGUUUGAGAGUAUAUGAGACUUUGUUAUUAGGAAACCAUUUGUGUAGUUGAGUUUCCUCAUAGGUUGUCCUCGGGAUCUAUGAUUAGCCCACAUGCCACACGUGCACAAAUGUAGGGAAAGUAUGCCUUUUUGAUGGCGGACAUUGAUAAAACGAUCUUAUCGGGUUGCAGAUCGGGACCAUAAGUAUAACAAGACAACUAACAGAUAGAGAAAUUAUAUUUGAGGGUGAAGUGAGGUGUGGGAUAAGAGUUGAGUUCAUAUUGCAUCCAUGCAUUCUCGAUAUGCUAUGUUUGUUUGUUUUGACUCGUAUUUAAUGUCAUGUUUUAUUAGUAUAUUAACUAGCCCUGCUAAGUGUUGCUCACCCCUCAUCAAACCCCUUGCAGGUGUGGUUCUUAAAGCGUAGGAAAAGUGUUAUAUUGUAAAUUAAAGCUUUCAUGUUUUUGUUUUGUAAAAUAAGGCUUGAAUAAAGAAUGGAUGUUUUGAAAAGAAACGCUAUUAUAAUUUGUUUGUAAACACUUUAAGCAUGUAUGUUUUAAGUGUCUUCUUAUAAGACUUGUAAUCUAAAUAAAGAUGCAAAGGUUGUUGUUUCUUACAUCAUGUUAUGAUAUUUAUCUCAUUUUAAUUAUGGAUAUUAAAUUGUCUGUAAUUAAGCAUGUGUGUUUUAAGUGCCUUCUUAUAAGGCUUGUAAUCUAAAUAAAGAUGCAAAGGUUGUUGUCUCUUAUGUCAUGUUACGAUAUAUAUCUCAUUUUAGGGUUAAAUUGUCUGUAAUUAAAAUGUAGGUUGUUGUCUCUUAUGUCAUGUUACGAUAUAUAUCUCAUUUGGGUUCAAACCUCACUGACAUAUGUAGGGUGUGUGAGUUAUUAAUAAAAUGUUUAAAAAAAAAAAUAAGUUACGAUAUAUAUCUCAUUUUAAUUAAUUAUGGAUAUUAAAUUGUCU
rnacentral:lncRNA from 1 species